ensembl:lncRNA
CCGGAAUUUAAAAUGCUCCUUUUUUUUUUAAUUUUACCUCCUGUUUUUGUUUCUUUCGGCUCUUUAUGAUCGUCUGGGGUCGAUUAGUCCUCCUUCCUUUGUUACCUUCACUUUUCCCUGACCAAAACAGAGAACAUCACAUUACAGCAGUCUGUAAUUUGUUUCUGUGUUUGUUUCUAAUGCACCAGUUAAUAAUAAUCCUUCUUUAUCUGAUACUGGGCCUCGGAUCACCUCCAUUCUCUUUGAUUGGGCAGGUUCUGGAAGCCUGCUGAGGAGCACCCAAUGUUUAUGAGCUGGAUGUGCUGAAGCAGAGGAAACCUGUGAGGAGUCAACAUCAGCCAAGCUGUGUGCUCAAUGAUUCAUCUUAGACGUGCAUUCUGGGUAAAUUUUGAAGGCUCACAUUGUUGAAUUAAUGGCUGCUCAGAACAGUACAGAGAAUAUUAAAGGUCUUCUUUAAGCUGCGCUUAAAUUCUAGGACCAUCUUCUUUCGGGGUCAGCUGGUUGUGGAAGGUCAGUGAUUUUUCUGUGGAACGACUCACAUAUGACAGAAAAUAAGGAGAAGCAGGAAAUGUCCACUGAGCGUUAAACAUGUUUAUAAAACAAUCCUGUGAUUUGACUUCAGACUAACUUUCAGCCUCAGAGAUGGAAGACGAGCGUGGCUCCAUCUGCAUGAGCUUCGUCUCAGCAGUGCUGUGAAAAAGGUGGAGAGAAAACCUCAUGGCUGCGUGCAGAGACACGAGGGAUCGGGGGUAAAACGGUAGAGUUGGGCAGCAGAUGGCUCAUCUCCAAGCUUCCAGCAUCCCGCCCGGCCUGCCAAAUAGGAACAGGUGCUGGAGAAAGAAGGAAGUGAGCUGUGGGCCUGGUGGGCAGCGGGAGACCCCUGACCAGCUGGCGAGGAGAAAAUGGAAAAAGCUGGCAGCAGAAAAAAGAGAAAACCUGUUUAAUGCGGAAGGCGCCAGCAUGCAGGCCCACAGAGGUUCUUUAAGCCUUUUAAAUAAAACACACAGAGCUGACACUUCACACCGACCGAGAGCAGAUUUUAAAUCCUGCUUCUAUUUACCAACAUCUCAUCGGCUC